GGGGAACUAGCUCAAAUGGUAGAGCGCUCGCUUCGCAAGAACAUCGUGUCUGCGAGAGGCACAGGGAUCGAUACCCUGGUUCUCCA